CUCUCUCAAACUCUCUCGAAGGGUCCUGAAACCCUAGCUCCUCUCACCCUUCUCUGACCAUUAUCUCACCAGAAUCCAUGGCUUCUCUGGCCACGGACGGCCUGUACUCACCUCCAUUCACCCCUAAGCCAUGGAUGUUUGACAUUUCAAAGUCUGACCUCGAUGGUGUCCAUUCAGAUCCUCUAGAGAUUUGUGGUUCCAUGGCCUAUCCGUCCUUGCUUCGGGUGUUCAAGCUUUAUGAGCGUAUCUUUAGCCAUUUCCGACUCGAGACCAGACUUUCUUUCAAGUAUUCUCAUUUCUAGGGUUUCUCUGAAACCCAAAACCUAUUAGAGGUUUUUCUCUGGUUAUUUUCUUAGAUCUAUGCAAUAUCUGUGCUAUAUUCGACGUUUUAAGCUUUUUC
rnacentral:lncRNA from 1 species